rnacentral:rRNA from 1 species
AUUGAACGCUGGCGGCAUGCCUUACACAUGCAAGUCGAACGGUAACAGGUUUUCGGAUGCUGACGAGUGGCGAACGGGUGAGUAAUAUAUCGGAACAUACCCUAGAGUGGGGGAUAACGUAGCGAAAGUUACGCUAAUACCGCAUACGAUCUGAGGAUGAAAGUGGGGGCUCGCAAGACCUCAUGCUCAUGGAGUGGCCGAUAUCUGAUUAGCUAGUUGGUGAGGUAAAGGCUCACCAAGGCGACGAUCAGUAGCUGGUUUGAGAGAACGACCAGCCACACUGGAACUGAGACACGGUCCAGACUCCUACGGGAGGCAGCAGUGGGGAAUUUUGGACAAUGGGGGCAACCCUGAUCCAGCAAUGCCGCGUGAGUGAAGAAGGCCUGGUUGUAAGACUCUUUGUCUAGGAAGAAAAGGUAGGUUCUAAUACGAGACACU